UAGUGCUCCUCGGCUAUUCCA
ensembl:piRNA 21ur-15309 ncRNA